AACGAACGCUGGCGGCAUGCCUAACACAUGCAAGUCGAACGGGAUCCUAGCUUGCUAGGUGAGAGUGGCGGACGGGUGAGUAACACGUGGGAAUCUGCCUUUUGGUUCGGGAUAACCGCGGGAAACUGCGGCUAAUACCGAAUGCCCUCGAGAGAGGAAAGAUUUAUCGCCAGAAGAGGAGCCCGCGUCCGAUUAGGUAGUUGGUGGGGUAAAGGCCUACCAAGCCGACGAUCGGUAGCUGGUCUGAGAGGAUGAUCAGCCACACUGGGACUGAGAUACGGCCCAGACUCCUACGGGAGGCAGCAGUGGGGAAUAUUGGACAAUGGGGGCAACCCUGAUCCAGCAAUGCCGCGUGAGUGAUG
rnacentral:rRNA from 1 species